rnacentral:rRNA from 1 species
GUAGGUGGCGAGCGUUAUCCGGAAUCAUUGGGCGUAAAGAGGGAGCAGGCGGCAAUAGAGGUCUGCGGUGAAAGCCUGAAGCUAAACUUCAGUAAGCCGUGGAAACCAAAUAGCUAGAGUGCAGUAGAGGAUCGUGGAAUUCCAUGUGUAGCGGUGAAAUGCGUAGAUAUAUGGAGGAACACCAGUGGCGAAGGCGACGAUCUGGGCUGCAACUGACGCUCAGUCCCAAAAGCGUGGGGAGCAAAUAGGAUUAGAUACCCUAGUAGUCCACGCCGUAAACGAUGAGUACUAAGUGUUGGGGGUCAAACCUCAGUGCUGCAGUUAACGCAAUAAGUA